rnacentral:rRNA from 1 species
AACGUAGGAGCCAAGCGUUAUCCAAAUUCACUGGGCGUAAAGCGCGUGCAGGCGGCUGGGUAAGUUGGAUGUGAAAUCUCCUGGCUCAACUGGGAGAGGCCGUUCAAUACUACCUGGCUUGAGGGCGACAGAGGGAGGUGGAAUUCCGGGUGUAGUGGUGAAAUGCGUAGAUAUCCGGAGGAACACCAGAGGCGAAGGCGACUACCUGGCCUGUUUCUUGACGCUGAGGCGCGAAAGCUAGGGGAGCAAACGGG